rnacentral:rRNA from 1 species
AUUGAACGCUGGCGGCAGGCCUAACACAUGCAAGUCGAACGGUAACAGGAAGAAGCUUGCUUCUUUGCUGACGAGUGGCGGACGGGUGAGCAAUGUCUGGGAAACUGCCUGAUGGAGGGGGAUAACUACUGGAAACGGUAGCUAAUACCGCAUAACGUCGCAAGACAAAAAAGGGGGACCUUCGGGCCUCUUGCCAUCGGAUGUGCCCAGAUGGGAUUAGCUAGGAGGUGGGGUAACGGCUCACCUAGGCGACGGUCCCUAGCUGGUCUGAGAGGAUGCCCACGCACACUGGAACUGGGCCGCCGUCCAGACACCUAGGCGUGGCAGCAGUGGGGAAUGUUGCAGAAAGGGCGCAAGCCUGAUGCAGACACACCGCGCAUAUGACGAAAGUCUCCGGGUUGUAAAGUACUUUCAGCGGGGAGGAAGGAAGUAAACUUAAUAGCUUCACUCAUUAGCGUUACCCGCAGAAGAAGCCCCGGCUCACUCCGUG